rnacentral:sRNA from 1 species
ACACCCGCGGUGGCGGCGGGGGCGGGCCCUCCGCGCACCCUCUCCGGGGAGGGGCGCACCCGUGGAUUGGCUAGCGGGCAGUGAGUGACAGCACGCCGCCACGCCCCCUCCCCACAGACGUCUUUUGCGAGGGCUGAGCAGACCGAUCCUAGAUUGGCCUUCGAGGGUGUCUUCUCGGGAAGAGGCCCUGCAGGUGUGGGCAGGCACCUCAGACCCUCGGACGCGGGCCCGGUGGCCUUCGAGGCCUCUCGCGUGGACCGCUGCCCUCCUCACGCUUCGUCCUCGCCCUACCUGCAUGCUGAUAGUCUCCGAAGCUCUGGUUUUAUCUUAGCCUUGUUUUCUUCUGGACUCAGUGCUGGGCCAGUUGCCUGGUGGCUUCACCUCUGCGCAGACAGGACACCUGUCUGUGACUGCUGAAUAACUUAAAAUCAAUCUUGCAAAAGCCGUUCCUCUGAACAGUACGGGCAAACCUGAGGGCAUCCCUUGAUCCUGCUGUCUGACCAGUGAUGAGCAGUUGGGCAGCUAUCAUGCAACUCUGGAUAGCUUAACUGCAUUUCAGAGGUUCAGAGCCCGACGACUUGAAGUGAGCUACAUAAUAAGUGGGGACCUGAAUCCGUGUGUUUCUGUUCCACAGGAGAGCCCACUGUGUGAGAGCACACAUCCCUACUGUGCCUUCUAGAGGAUCUGUUAGCAGGGCAGGAACACAUAAAGCCUGUUCCAGAAGUGGCCACAGAAAUGUCCACAGGCCGUGCUGUCUGACAAGGGCACAGGGAGCAAGAAGGCCCUGAUCUAGAUUCUUCCGUGGUUGUGGGGAGAGAACGAAGUGAGAGGUUCUGUGUGUUCAUGAAAUACAGCCUCCUCAAAUGAGGAAGGAGGAAGUGUUGCCUGUCUUCACAGGCCAGUGAAGUUCAAGCUUCAAGGAAGCAAGCGUUUCCUGCCGUGGUCCCAGCACCUGAGACCAUUAAGGAAGGUGGUUCUGAAUAGAACGCGUAUGCCAGCAAGCUCAGGUCUAGACCCUUCAGUCCGUGACCCAUUUGGACCUUCCUUUUAGCCAGGAGCUCACCUUUUCAUCUUGAAUUUCAGACUUAGGAUAACAGAAGGAACAUUGGUAGGGAUUAUGGCUACUUUGGGGUACCCAGAGCUCUGGGUUGGCUACAGUUAACAGUUAACUCCUUCGACCAAUCAAUAGUCUUCCUUCCAUCUGAGAGGCUUCUGAGAUCUGGUACUCAGUACAGACUGGAGGCUUCACCACAUAAGAAAGCUAUCCUGUUUCUGUUCAGUACAUGUGGAAAGCUCUCCACAAUUGUUUCCCAAAUAAACAGGCCGUCUUGUGCAAGCGCUACUGCCCACACUGGGCUUAGGCAGCUCUCGGAGGAUAACUGUACAUUUCCUGGCUUUCUGGGCCUAUCUUUAGGGAUGGAGCCUCUGCUACUCUUGAUUCCACAUCAGGACAGACGUACUUCCAGGUCAAGCCCCAUACCAUCUUCCCACUGGGAGGGACCAACCCUUGCUGACCUGAAUGAACAGACCGUGCACUGCACUAAAUCUCAGCCCCCGGCCUUUACUGUGGCCUGGGGCCUCAUUCACAAAGAGGCAGACGCUAUGUUUCCGUUAAGUUGUAGGAGUUUAUUUUAAAUAACCUACAGUUGAUUAAAAGGGAAUUCAUGAUAAAAAUAGAAGAUACUUGAGGAAAGAUGUGGGAAUGGACUCUGCACACACACUAAACUAACAAUGCCUCUAAAACUAAUGAUUAUAGCAAAAAAAAAGUCUUCACAUUAAAAUUUUCCUUUUUAUGGUUUUUUCCAUUUUUUACACAAUUACAAAAGAAAAAAAAAUAAAAGCCCUAAAAUCUUGAUUAUUUUUUCCUUUUUGUUUUGUUUUUGUUUUUGUUUUCCUUGGACCAAAUGCUCAUUUUCCUCUAAAUUUAUUGACCUGUGGAAGUUUUUAUACAAUAAAAUCUUUCAAAUGAAAGACUGGGGUUUCCAAAGAAAAAGAUGGAUUUCUUAAAGGGUACAAAGAAUGGUCAGAACA